UACGUAGGGGGCUAGCGUUGUCCGGAUUUAUUGGGCGUAAAGAGCGUGUAGGCGGCCAGGCAGGUCUGCUGUGAAAACUCGAGGCUCAACCUCGAGACGUCGGCGGAAACCAUCUGGCUAGAGUCCGGAAGAGGAGAGUGGAAUUCCUGGUGUAGCGGUGAAAUGCGUAGAUAUCAGGAGGAACACCGGUGGCGAAGGCGGCUCUCUGGACCGAUAUUGACGCUGAGACGCGAAAGCGUGGGUAGCAAACAGG
rnacentral:rRNA from 1 species